AUAUAUAUAUAUAUAUAGAAGUAUAUACUACAGAUUCUACGAGGGAGUAGAAGUGCAUCUCACUUCGCUCUGUUAUAUAUAUUUUUAAAACAGAGCGAAGUGAGAUGCACUUCUACUCCCUCGUAGAAUCUGUAGUAUAUACUUCUAGACAUACUGUAC